rnacentral:rRNA from 1 species
AGUGAACGCUGGCGGUAGGCCUAACACAUGCAAGUCGAACGGCAACACAGUAAGCGCUUGCCCUUACGGGUGGCGAGUGGCGGACGGGUGAGGAAUAGAUCGGAAUCUACUUUUUCGGGGGGGAUAACGUAGGGAAACUUACGCUAAUACCGCAUACGACCUACGGGUGAAAGCAGGAGAGAUUGGGACCUUGCGCGACUGAAUGAGCCGAUGUCGGAUUAGCUAGUUGGCAGGGUAAAGGCCUACCAAGGCAACGAUGCGUAGCUGGUCUGAGAGGAUGAUCGGCCACACUGGAACUGAGACACGGUCCAGACUCCUACGGGAGGCAGCAGUGGGGAAUCUUGGGCAAUGGGCGAAAGCCUGACCGAGCAACGCCGCGUGAGUGAUGAAGGUCUUCGGGUUGUAAAGCCCUUUUGUUAGGGAAGAACAGCAGUAUGCUAAUCUCCGCAUGUUUCGACGGUACCUAAUGAGUAAGCACCGGCUAACUUCGUG